rnacentral:rRNA from 1 species
AACGAACGCUGGCGGCAGGCCUAACACAUGCAAGUCGAGCGAGGACUUCGGUCCUAGCGGCGGACGGGUGAGUAACGCGUGGGAACGUGCCCUUUGCUUCGGAAUAGCCCUGGGAAACUGGGAGUAAUACCGGAUGAGCCCUUUGGGGGAAAGAUUUAUCGGCGAAGGAUCGGCCCGCGUUGGAUUAGGUAGUUGGUGGGGUAAUGGCCUACCAAGCCGACGAUCCAUAGCUGGUUUGAGAGGAUGAUCAGCCACACUGGGACUGAGACACGGCCCAGACUCCUACGGGAGGCAGCAGUGGGGAAUCUUAGACAAUGGGGGAAACCCUGAUCUAGCCAUGCCGCGUGAGCGAUGAAGGCCUUAGGGUUGUAAAGCUCUUUCAGCUGGGAAGAUAAUGACGGUACCAGCAGAAGAAGCCCCGGCUAACUCCGUU